UACGAAGGGUGCUAGCGUUGUUCGGAAUCACUGGGCGUAAAGCGCGCGUAGGCGGCUUUUCAAGUCAGGGGUGAAAUGCCAAGGCUUAACCUUGGAACUGCCUUUGAAACUGUAAAGCUGGAGUGUCGGAGGGGAUAGCGGAAUUCCUAAUGUAGUGGUGAAAUACGUAGAUAUUAGGAGGAACACCGGUGGCGAAGGCGGCUAUCUGGACGACAACUGACGCUGAGGCGCGGAAGCGUGGGGAUCAAACAGG
rnacentral:rRNA from 1 species